AAAUAAUCAAGAUAGGUUGGAGCUCUUUGGAAGAUCUAUCGAGUUGAUUUCUCAGAAGAACUCACCGUUUGGGACAGCCCCUUGCCAUGGCUAGCAAAAGAAAGUCAACGACUCCCUGUAUGGUGCGCACUUCUGAAGUCACAGAGCAGGAAGGCGCGGAGGGCGCAGAGGCUUCUAAAGAAAAGGGGCCUGGCACGCUGCAGCAGGACUCUAAAAAGAAAUGGCCUUCAGAAAGCUCAGUCAAAGACUGUGAAGCAGUUGAGGCAAAGCCCCCAGCUGAAAACCAGUCUAAGAAACCCCAAGGUGGUUAUGAGUGUAAAUACUGCCCUUACUCAACGCAAAAUUUAAAUGAAUUUACAGAGCACGUCGACACCCAGCAUCCGAAUGUCAUUCUCAACCCCCUCUACGUCUGUGCUGAGUGCAACUUCACAACCAAAAAAUACGACUCUUUAUCUGACCACAACACAAAAUACCACCCAGGAGAGACAAACUUUAAACUGAAACUAAUCAAACGUAAUAAUCAGACCGUUUUAGAGCAGUCCAUUGAGGUCACUGCUAACGAUGCCACUGUCUCAAGCGGUGGGCUAGAAAACACAGAGUGUGAUGAUUCACUUCACGGGGGAAUUAGCGCAAGUAAAACACCGGCGGUGAAACCGGGAAAGCCUAAAGGGGAAACCAAGAAAGGCUCCAAAAAGCCAGAAGAGGGAGUUGCAGAAAAUCACAUGGAUGGCAGUCUGCCCCGCAUCCUAACUGAAGCCACCGAGGCUAUUGCUUGCAUAAAUGGAGACCUUCUUCAUGAUGUGUUGGCCCACGUUAUGCCCUCUGUACAGCUGCCGCCAAACAUUAACCUUGUCCCCAAGGUCCCGGUACCUCUGAACAGUACCAAGUACAACUCUGCACUGGACACUAAUGCGACCAUGAUCAACUCUUUUAAUAAAUUUCCUUACCCAACACAGGCAGAGUUGUCGUGGUUGACAGCAGCAUCAAAACACCCAGAAGAGCAAAUCCGAAUCUGGUUUGCUACACAGCGCUUGAAGCAUGGUAUAAGUUGGUCUCCUGAAGAAGUGGAGGAGGCAAGAAAGAAGAUGUUCAAUGGUACUAUCCAGGCAGUUCCCCAAACCAUCACUGUCCUACCAGCUCCUUUGACAACUGCGAAAAUGCCUCAGCCUAUUAUCCAGACAGCUUUGCCUUGUCAGAUACUGGGCCAGACAGGUCUGGUGUUGACUCCUGUAUCAAACGGUUCAACUGUUUCCUGUUCACCAAUUACGCUUGCUGUUGCCCCAAACCAGGGGCAAAAGAGGACAAUACAGAACUUAUCAAGUGCCCCAGAGGCCAAGCGUCCUCACGUAGUUCAGGUGCCUGAGGUUCCUGCUAAGUUGACUGCUGUACCACUAACGCCAGCCAGUGAGCGAAAAAAGACAAAGGAGCAGAUAGCAGAGCUGAAGGCCAGUUUCACGGCAAGCCAGUUUCCCAAUGACGCAGAAGUCUACCGGCUGAUAGAGGCAACAGGUCUCUCCAGGAGUGAGAUCAAGAAGUGGUUCAGUGACCACAGGUAUAGAAGUCAAAGGGGCAUUGUGCACAUCCCUGGCGAUGCUUUAGGGAAAGACCAAAUAGCACCUUCAGCCGGCCGACAUGGCCGAUCCUUUCACCCAUACACAGAACUUACUCCCCAGAGAUUCAAAGAGAAAACCCAAGAGCAGCUUAGGGCCCUUGAGGAAAGCUUCCUAAGAUGCUCUUUUCCUACCCAAGGAGAAUUAGACAGGCUCCGAGUGGAGACUAAGCUGAGUAGGAGGGAGAUAGAUUCAUGGUUCUCUGAGCGAAGAAAGAUAAGGGACAGCAUGGAGCAAGCUGUCUUGGACUCGAUGGGAUCAUACAGAAAAACUAAAGAACAAGAAACUCCCAAUGGUGCAAUAAACCAGGCAGAACUACUGAGUAGCUCUCAGCUCCCUGGUGCUUUAUCUGGGUCCUCCACCACAUUUAAGAAAACCCAAGAGCAAAUUCACCUACUAAAAAGCACAUUUGCAAGGACCCAGUGGCCAUCACCCCAGGAGUAUGACCAGUUAGCAUCUCAGACUGGGCUCACAAGAACUGAAAUCGUUCGCUGGUUCAAGGAAAACCGCUCAUCACUUAGAACAGGGUCACUGAAAUGGAUUGACCAGUACCAGCAGCAGUAUGUUGUUGAUGGUCAUAAUGAGCAAAGCCAGAAAAAGGGAUCAAAACACACUGAGAGUCCAAAGAAUGGUAGCGAGGUGUCUAGGCAGCAUCACCAGGAGCAUAAAAAAGUUAAUGAAGAGAAUGGGGAGAAAGUACCGGUCAGAGUGAAAAGAGACUGUGAACCACUGAAAGACUCUUUGUUGGCAAAUCAAGCAGAGGGUACAGACAGGUUGGAGUGCAACAGCCACGAUGGCCACGGCAGUGAGGAGAACGAGGAGCCAGCAGAGGUCAACUGGGUGGAAGUGACGGUGGGCGAGGAGGAUGUUGCAUCAGACUGUACAGACAGCUGGAGCCACACAGCACCCGAAGGCCAGGCAGAGCUGGCAGACUUUGACUCUGAAAGUAUAUCUGGAGAAAAUCCCCACGUGUAGACAGGUAAUGCUGAUGGUGUCCUGUUUCUCUGAGCUUCUCUCUGGCUGUGCUUCCAGCAUCCUGUAGGUCUUCAUCAGCAUAAAUCCUUGGAGCCCAUCCCUGCCGGAUCAUUGCGCCUGCUGGAUGCCUGAACAAAAGGGAGACCCAUCCUGCUUGUAGUUUAAAGCAACUGCACGGUAGGGGAGGGGUUAGUGCCGUUUGCCUUGUUUCUUGUCUCCUUGUGGGUCAAAUCCUGGAUAAGGGAGAUUUUAUUUUCUAAUUGUUUGGGGUUUUUUUUGGCAAUAAGUGAUUAAACCUAAAAUUUUCUGCCUUUGAACAACCUAUCUAACCUCUGCAGCACUUGAUGUAAAACACACCAGCUGAGCCACGCAAAGAAAUAGUGACACUAGCUGCUAAUAUUCCCUGUUGUAACAACAGGUCAUUGAUCUCCUGUGAAUAGAGGCUGUGCCUGUUUUUGCACCUCGAGCCUUUCCUUUGCAGUAUCCUCCGCAGCUCAGAAUAAAAGGUCACUGGGGGAAGGGCCCAGGACAGAGGUGCUUCUUUGUGCAACAGCAAAAAGAAAAAAAAAGGGGGGAAAAAACCCCAAACAACAAUAACCUUGUAAGGACUGAAGUGGCUAAUGCAAAUGUGCUCUCUUCCUCUUGCAGGGAUACUCCUCAGCUGCACUGUCCUCAUAUUGAAGAGGAAAUGCUGUCUGAAAAUAGAAGAAAAGUUGUUCUCCUGUCUGGGAUGAGAUAGUGUGCUGUGACUCCCAGGUCUCAAACCACACUUCAGAGGCACAGCGAGAAAUACUAUCGUGGAGCACCAUCAUGGGAUCGUUUAUAGUGCCAAAGUCCUACUACUGCAUCAAAAAAAGAGAAGAAAGAAAGAGAAAAGGGUCCUUGUACAUAGGUUUCUCCUUAGCUUCUCUCCCACCCACUUUCCUGCCCAGCCUCUUCCUCUACUGGAACAGAUUUGUACAACAUGGAAAUUUUGUUAACUUUUUACUACAUGCAAGUUACUCUUGCAUAGAAUGCCACUGCAAAAUUUGGGGAGUAGCUUGGGGGAGGGAAGUUUCUUUUGUGAGGGAGGGAGAGGAGAUCUGGUUUUGGUUUUUUUGUAUUUUCUAAAGCAUUUUAAGACAGAUUUGCAGUCUUUGGAGUCUUAGUGCAGAUCAACAUCUGAGCCCAGAUCCCCACCUCGGUUUACAUUUCAGCCCACUUAAACACGUUGCGAGGUUGGGGAGGGUUGUUCUGGAGUGGUUGGGGUUUGGGUUUUUUUUCCUCAUUUUGACUUUGUUUUAUGGCCACCUGCUACUGCCUUUUUUUUUUAAUUUUGUGCUCUUGCAAGGCAAGUCUUCUCCAGCUCCUGUAUUUCACGAGCCAACCUCAGCUGUGGGUUUCCAGUGAUCUGGCUAGAAUGCCUUUUUUUGUUUGGUUUGUUUUAGCACUUUUUGUUUAAACAUGCAGUACAACCCCCAGAGAGGUUGGAGCACAGAAAUUAAGAUGCUUCAUUAUCUGAACUUGUUUGUGUUUCUUCAGCUGAUACAAGAACGGACACCAUAACCAACAGGCUGCCCUUCAGCUUUAGAAGUUGUAGCGCACAACAGAUUUCUGAUUAACCCUUGCCACUAAAUUUGUAGAUCAAUCCUAGGUUACCGAGUGCACUUUCUUUUUAAAAUACUGCUAAUUUGGACUUGGAGGGAGGUGUCUGUCCAUGCACGUGUGAGGAGGAGGAGGAGGAGGGAGAGUGGGUGUGUGGGCGAGUGGGUGCAAGAGCUGUCCGGUGUGUUCCUCUGCUGAGCUGGGUGGGGAAAGCUUGCCCACCUUUCAGUACGCUGCACAAAUAGGAUGCUAGGGCAUUUGAAUAAAUCCAACUUUUCUAACUUGUUGCUCAUUUGUUGUAACUCAAUAAAACAAAGGCUAAACGUUUUGGUAA